UCUACAUCAGUGAGACCAAGCGGAGGCUGGGCGAUCGUUUCGCCAAACACCUCCGCUCGGUCCGCAAUAACCAACCUGACCUCCCAGUGGCUCAGCACUUCAACUCCCCCUCCCACUCUGUAUCCAACCUCACUGUCCUGGGUCUCCUCCAUGGCCAGAGCGAGCAACACCGGAAAUUGGAGGAACAGAACCAAUUCAGAACCCCCCCCAAACUGCAUCAGUCUGAAGAAGGGUUUCGGCCCGAAACGUUGCCUAUUUCCUUCGCUCCAUAGAUGCUGCUGCUCCCGCUGAGUUUCUCCAGCAUUUUUGUGUACCUUUGAUUUUCCAGCAUCUGCAGUUCCUUCUUAAACACCGUCACUUUGUUGUUGAGUUGGAGCUGCAUUCUUCUGGGCAUUUGUUGAUUCUGUUCUUGUCUAAUCAUGAGACUCUUGAAAUUUCGCUGCUUCCUCACUACCUGCACUACCAUUUUGUUCUUCCAUCUGAGUCAUUGAUCAAUACUAAAUAGUGGCGCCCAAUGUAGGUGGCAGACUGUGCUAGUCACAGAAGUUGAUCUGCAAUCACCCAUUACAAUCACCCCACUAAAUCUCUGCUACAAUGACACGUCUUACUUUAUCUAUGACAUCUGUACACUGUGGAUGGCUCGAUUGUAAUCAUGUGGUGUCUUUCCUGGUUAGCACACAACAAAUGCUUUUCACUGUCCCUCGGUACACCUGAGAAUAAACUAAACUCUAGAUUGGUAGUGGGGUUAUAUUUUCUAUUUUCUGAUCUGUGAGAACCUUAGGUGGCCAUAACGUAAAAGUUGAUGCCAAUGAGUGGGAAAUCAAAACCACUUCAAAUUUUCAUGCCACAGUUGGAAAUGCAUCCACAACUUCACUCUGCCUACAGCACAGAUUUUGCAGGUGUAAUUCCACACUGCUUCAUGAUGGCACGAGCGAUGCAGUUUAACCAGUUUGGGUGGGGCACUGGAUAUUUCCACAAGGAUUGCUGCAAUUUUCGAGCAUGAAGUGUAACAAAUAUCUUGAUGUCACCAAUCAAACUUAAGGCUUGUAAAAGGUAUUACAAUUCUCAUUGGACAAGUUUUUGCAUAAUACAUUGUAAACACGGGACAAGUUUCUAUUAUUUCAGACUUCCCACACGUACGUUUGGAUUUUUGCUGAAGGCUGAACAAGGAUCCCUAACUGAAACGGCACCUAUCCGUGUAAUUCUAGGGAUGCUGCCUGACCCGCGCCAGAAGCCCAGGUUCGAUCCUGUCCACAGGUGCUGUGUGCACGGAGUUUGUGCGAUCGCCCUGUGACCUGCGUGGGUUUUCUCUGGGAGCUCCGGCUUCCUCCCACACUUCAGAUGGGUGGAGAAAGGCUGGAGCUGAAAAGGAGACCAAAGGAGACGAGGAGACAAAAGUGUGUCAGGCAUUUAUGAAUGGGAAUAAUGAACAACUCUCCUGGUGAAUGUGAGCUCUGGAAUUAAUAUGAAAUCCAGUGCAGUCCUCAAGAAGACAACACUUACACCAUCAACACACUCUGCUGCUGGAUCCAUGCCUCAUGAACAGUAGUUUAGCAAAGUUGUUACCAAAAGCAGUCACUGUGCGAACAAUGCAUCUUGCACGUCAUAAUAAUCAGUUACCAGGACCAGAACUCAUUAAUCGUGAUUGUCAUUGAGAUUAGGCCAUGCACAAAUAAAUUGAUUGUAACUAAA